GAUCAUGGCUCAGGAUGAACGCUAGCGGCAGGCUUAACACAUGCAAGUCGAGGGGGUAUAGUAGCAAUACUAGAGACCGGCGCACGGGUGCGUAACGCGUAUGCAACCUACCUUUACAGAGGGAUAGCCCAGAGAAAUUUGGAUUAAUACCUCAUAGUGUUAUUAGAUGGCAUCAUUUGAUAACUAAAGUUCCAACGGUAAAAGAUGGGCAUGCGUCCUAUUAGCUAGAUGGUAAGGUAACGGCUUACCAUGGCUACGAUAGGUAGGGGGUCCUGAGAGGGAGAUCCCCCACACUGGUACUGAGACACGGACCAGACUCCUACGGGAGGCAGCAGUGAGGAAUAUUGGACAAUGGGCGCAAGCCUGAUCCAGCCAUGCCGCGUGCAGGAAGAAGCAUCUAUGGUGUGUAAACUGCUUUUGUACGGGAAGAAACACUCCUACGUGUAGGAGCUUGACGGUACCGUAAGAAUAAGGAUCGGCUAACUCCGUG
rnacentral:rRNA from 1 species